rnacentral:sRNA from 2 species
CGAACCCGAUCGGAGCCGGGGACCCAAUGAGUACCAGGCACUCAACCGUGCCGGUCCCCCGGGGUGAAUCGGCCCCCCGCACCCAGCAGACGCACCCCGCACGGAGCCCCGUGCGUCCGCGUCACGGCGUGCACGGGGCUGUAGGGCGAACUCCCCUUCCGCCCGAACCCGUCAGCUAACCCGGUAG